GAUGAACGCUAGCUACAGGCUUAACACAUGCAAGUCGCGGGGCAGCAUGGGGGUUGCUUGCAAUCCCCGACGGCGACCGGCGCACGGGUGAGUAACGCGUAUCCAACCUGCCCUUCACCACGGGAUAACCCGGCGAAAGUCGGACUAAUACCGUAUGUUGUCCAUUGACGGCAUCCGAUUUGGACGAAAGGCUUGGCGGUGAGGGAUGGGGAUGCGUCCGAUUAGCCAGACGGCGGGGUAACGGCCCACCGUGGCUACGAUCGGUAGGGGUUCUGAGAGGAAGGUCCCCCACACUGGAACUGAGACACGGUCCAGACUCCUACGGGAGGCAGCAGUGAGGAAUAUUGGUCAAUGGGCGUAAGCCUGAACCAGCCAAGUAGCGUGCAGGAUGACGGCCCUAUGGGUUGUAAACUGCUUUUAUGCGGGGAUAAAGUGGCCCACGUGUGGGCUUUUGCAGGUACCGCAUGAAUAAGGACCGGCUAAUUCCGUG
rnacentral:rRNA from 1 species